rnacentral:lncRNA from 1 species
UAAUUUCAUUAUUCCGCCCGCAAUUUCCAUAUGGUUCCACCUUUUUCUUUAUUCCUCCCUGAUUAUUACCAGUAUUUCUAGAACUUGUCCACUUUCUUUUUCCACUUACACUUCCACUGUUUCCUUCAACCUUUACUUUUACUUCAACCUUACCAUUAUUCUUCUAUCCCUUAUUAUAGAGGCUCAUGGCCCCACUUGAUC